rfam:Hordeum vulgare subsp. vulgare, WGS project CAJW01000000 data, contig: morex_contig_163556
CUGCUACUCCCUCCGUCUGGAAAUACUUGUUGGAGGAAUGGAUGUAUCUAGAUGUAUUUUAUUUCUACAUACAUCCAUUAUUAUCUAUUUUUGCGACAAGUAAUUCUGGACGGAGGGAGUACAUU